AACGUAGGUACCGAGCGUUAUCCGGAUUUACUGGGCGUAAAGCGUGUUCAGGCGGUCUAGCAAGUCGGGCAUGAAAUCUCUGGGCUCAACCCGGAGGGGUUGUCCGAAACUGCUGGGCUUGAGGGCAGCAGAGGGUGGUGGAAUUCCGGGUGUAGUGGUGAAAUGCGUAGAUAUUAGGAAGAACACCAGUGGCGAAGGCGGCGACCUGGACAAGCACUGACACUCAACUACGAAAGCGUGGGGAGCAAACAGG
rnacentral:rRNA from 1 species